AACGAACGCUGGCGGCAUGCCUAACACAUGCAAGUCGAACGAAGCCUUCGGGCUUAGUGGCGCACGGGUGCGUAACGCGUGGGAAUCUGCCCCUUGCUUCGGAAUAACAGUUAGAAAUGACUGCUAAUACCGGAUGAAGUCUUCGGACCAAAGAUUUAUCGGCAAGGGAUGAGCCCGCGUAGGAUUAGGUAGUUGGUGGGGUAAAGGCCUACCAAGCCGACGAUCCUUAGCUGGUCUGAGAGGAUGAUCAGCCACACUGGGACUGAGACACGGCCCAGACUCCUACGGGAGGCAGCAGUGGGGAAUAUUGGACAAUGGACGCAAGUCUGAUCCAGCAAUGCCGCGUGAGUGAUGAAGGCCUUAGGGUUGUAAAGCUCUUUUACCAGGGAUGAUAAUGACAGUACCUGGAAAAUAAGCUCCGGCUAACUCCGUG
rnacentral:rRNA from 1 species